rnacentral:rRNA from 1 species
GGGUUGUGAGGUUAAGCGACUAAGCGUACACGGUGGAUGCCCUGGCAGUCAGAGGCGAUGAAGGACGUGCUAAUCUGCGAUAAGCGUCGGUAAGGUGAUAUGAACCGUUAUAACCGGCGAUUUCCGAAUGGGGAAACCCAGUGUGUUUCGACACACUAUCAUUAACUGAAUCCAUAGGUUAAUGAGGCGAACCGGGGGAACUGAAACAUCUAAGUACCCCGAGGAAAAGAAAUCAACCGAGAUUCCCCCAGUAGCGGCGAGCGAACGGGGAGCAGCCCAGAGCCUGAAUCAGUGUGUGUGUUAGUGGAAGCGUCUGGAAAGGCGUGCGAUACAGGGUGACAGCCCCGUACACAAAAAUGCACAUGCUGUGAGCUCGAUGAGUAGGGCGGGACACGUGGUAUCCUGUCUGAAUAUGGGGGGACCAUCCUCCAAGGCUAAAUACUCCUGACUGACCGAUAGUGAACCAGUACCGUGAGGGAAAGGCGAAAAGAACCCCGGCGAGGGGAGUGAAAAAGAACCUGAAACCGUGUACGUACAAGCAGUGGGAGCACGCUUAGGCGUGUGACUGCGUACCUUUUGUAUAAUGGGUCAGCGACUUAUAUUCUGUAGCAAGGUUAACCGAAUAGGGGAGCCGAAGGGAAACCGAGUCUUAACUGGGCGUUAAGUUGCAGGGUAUAGACCCGAAACCCGGUGAUCUAGCCAUGGGCAGGUUGAAGGUUGGGUAACACUAACUGGAGGACCGAACCGACUAAUGUUGAAAAAUUAGCGGAUGACUUGUGGCUGGGGGUGAAAGGCCAAUCAAACCGGGAGAUAGCUGGUUCUCCCCGAAAGCUAUUUAGGUAGCGCCUCGUGAAUUCAUCUCCGGGGGUAGAGCACUGUUUCGGCAAGGGGGUCAUCCCGACUUACCAACCCGAUGCAAACUGCGAAUACCGGAGAAUGUUAUCACGGGAGACACACGGCGGGUGCUAACGUCCGUCGUGAAGAGGGAAACAACCCAGACCGCCAGCUAAGGUCCCAAAGUCAUGGUUAAGUGGGAAACGAUGUGGGAAGGCCCAGACAGCCAGGAUGUUGGCUUAGAAGCAGCCAUCAUUUAAAGAAAGCGUAAUAGCUCACUGGUCGAGUCGGCCUGCGCGGAA